UAACAGUCCGAAAGGAUUGCUAAUACCGCAUGUGGUUAUUGGAAUUAGAAACCGAUAUCUAAAGGAGUAAUUCGCUUUGGGAGGGACCUGCGUCCCAUCAGCUAGUUGGUGAGGUAAUGGCUCACCAAGGCGACGACGGAUAGGGGACCUGAGAGGGUGACCCCCCACACUGGCACUGAGAUACGGGCCAGACGCCUACGGGUGGCAGCAGUAAGGAAUAUUGCACAAUGGGCGAAAGCCUGAUGCAGCAACGCCGCGUGCGCGAUGAAGGCCUUCGGGUUGUAAAGCGCUUUUCGGGGGGAUGAGGAAGGACAGUACCCCCGGAAUAAGGUACGGCUAACUACGUGCCAGCAGCCGCGGUAAAACGUAGGUACCAAGCGUUAUCCGGAUUCACUGGGCGUAAAGCGCGUGCAGGUGGUCUGGUAAGUCGGGCAUGAAAACUCUCGGCUCAACUGAGAGAAGCUGUUCGAUACUGUCGGACUCGAGGGUGUGAGAGGGAGGUGGAAUUCCGCGUGUAGUGGUGAAAUGCGUAGAUAUGCGGAGGAACACCAGUGGCGAAGGCGGCCUCCUGGCACACUCCUGACACUCAGACGCGAAAGCUAGGGGAGCGAACGGGAUUAGAAACCCCGGUAGUCCUAGCCGUAAACGAUGGUUACUAGGUGUUAGUGGUAUCAAGCCCACUAGUGCCGAAGCUAACGCGAUAAGUAACCCGCCUGGGGACUACGAUCGCAAGAUUAAAACUCAAAGGAAUUGACGGGGGCCCGCACAAGCAGCGGAGCGUGUGGUUUAAUUCGAGGCUACGCGAAGAACCUUACCCAGGUUUGACAUGCAGGUAGUAGGGAAGCGAAAGCGGACCGAUCCUUCGGGAAGCCUGCACAGGUGAUGCAUGGCUGUCGUCAGCUCGUGCCGUGAGGUGUUUGGUUAAGUCCAGUAACGAGCGCAACCCUUAGGGCCAGUUACAAGUGUCUGGCCCGACUGCCGGUCUUAAGCCGGAAGAAGGUGGGGAUGACGUCAAGUCAGCAUGUCCU
rnacentral:rRNA from 1 species